AGCCAUGCGAGUCAUUGUAGUAAUACAAGGCAGACGGCUCAGUAACGCGUAGUCAACCUAACCUAUGGACGGGAAUAACCUCGGGAAACUGAGUAUAAUGCCCGAUAGAACACUAUUCCUGGAAUGGUUUGUGUUCCAAAUGAUUUAUCGCCGUAGGAUGGGACUGCGGCCUAUCAGUUUGUUGGUGAGGUAAUGGCCCACCAAGACUAUUACAGGUACGGGCUCUGAGAGGAGUAGCCCGGAGAUGGGUACUGAGACACGGACCCAGGCCCUAUGGGGCGCAGCAGGCGAGAAAACUUUGCAAUGUGCGAAAGCACGACAAGGUUAAUCCGAGUGGUUUGUGCUAAACGAACCUUUUGACAGUCCUAGAAACACUGUUGAAUAAGGGGUGGGCAAGUUCUGGUGUCAGCCGCCGCGGUAAAACCAGCACCUCAAGUGGUCAGGAUGAUUAUUGGGCCUAAAGCAUCCGUAGCCGGCUCUGUAAGUUUUCGGUUAAAUCUGUACGCUCAACGUACAGGCUGCCGGGAAUACUGCAGAGCUAGGGAGUGGGAGAGGUAGACGGUACUCGGUAGGAAGGGGUAAAAUCCUUUGAUCUAUUGAUGACCACCUGUGGCGAAGGCGGUCUACCAGAACACGUCCGACGGUGAGGGAUGAAAGCUGGGGGAGCAAACCGGAUUAGAUACCCGGGUAGUCCCAGCUGUAAACUAUGCAAACUCAGUGAUGCAUUGGCUUGUGGCCAAUGCAGUGCUGCAGGGAAGCCGUUAAGUUUGCCGCCUGGGAAGUACGUACGCAAGUAUGAAACUUAAAGGAUUGGCGGGG
rnacentral:rRNA from 1 species